GUGAUAUUCGACUCUUCAUUGUCCUUGUUGCGCAGGCGUUCCUGUCGGGCUCGUCUGCGCCGCUCACGGGCCGCCUCCUCAUCAUCAUCCUGAGCAUUUAUUCUGUACAGAAAACUUCAUGAAUCUUAAGAUGUUGGAGAUGGUAGACAGAGACCCAUAACAGGCACCACAAUUUUGUUUCUCUUUUCCGGGACAACGGCGGAAAUCCGAAACGAUCCGGGAGUUCCGAAAUGGAAAAGGUCAUCCGAAACGACACUCAGAUGGAGUAUCUGAAGAAAAUGUCUUUUGUGAGAGAAAAGACAGAGUGCUUUUGGGUACAGUGGGCAUGUUAUACAUUCCCCAGAUCGCCUAUCACUGUACAGCCUUCCUACCACAAGGUUCCAGGCAUUUUGCCCUCUGCACGCUUCUCAUUUUUCACCCUAAAAUCUUGAGAGAAAUAGCAGAGUUUGUUCGCAUGUGCCAGAUUUCUCUACAGCAGAUGAAAUACGUCUAUGAAAUGAAUCUCGCAGGAAUUUUACAGUAAAGACUGACAGAUGAUGCUCAAACCUGUUAACAAGAUUAAUCUACCAUCUGAAAUUCGUGCGUGAGGACGUCUGGAUUCAAGAGCUGUAACCGCCACCCAAGAACAGUCAGAUGAGGACAUAGAUCCAUUUGUACUGGGAAGGAGAUGCCUUGUUGCUUAUACCAUGUAAGGAGAAGACCUGAUUUGGCAGAAGUGCAGCAAGACGCCUGGGUAACGUACAGUAUGAUAAACAGUUUUACGAUGGAACCCAUUCAAGGAUGAAAACCUCAAACCGGAAUUCGAUAUUAAUCACACAACAUCUGCAAACUUCUCCAUGCAUAUUUGAUGAAUCGACCCAAAGCUUGGUUUCAAAUUAUGCUGACCUCACACCUUGGAAAUUCAAAAUGUGCCAAUGUCCAUCAUUUUUGAAUAAGUGGGUCCGUAUAUCCCAAAAAAAUUUGCUGAAUGAUUUAAGAAACUAUAUGGAAGUGUCUUCUUGUUAUAAACAUCUGGCAGCAAUGAACUGUGUAUGGUAUAUUUUAACUACAAAUUAAAAUCCAGGUUCGACCACAUGCAACUGCGAUAUCUACAGAUUACAUUAAACACACUGUAAGGUUUUCAUCCAAUUCAAUCAGUAUGAUUUAUUGUCAGUACUGAGCAAAUAGGAACUGCUUUUGAAAGAAAAUUUGCAUUUCAGCUUUAACGGAUAAAUGAUUUGUGGGUGACAGACAGGUUUUAUAAUGCAAACUGGCUUUAACGUAAAGGCAAAGUGGUAUUCUUGCCAACCCAAACAACAUGGGUUUGGAUAUCACCAUGUCCCUCCAUUACCAUGUUAUAGCUCCAUCACAAGAUGAUCCCUUUGAGGGAAAAAAUAGCUAGCUGAUCGUUGACAGAUCCCUGCUGAACCACUAUCCCUCCUGCUCUGAUUUCCCCAAAGUUUGGGCACUAACGGCCAGCAACAUUCCCAAACGUGAUCCCAUCCCACUCCGGAAGCAUAGGGCAGUAUUCCUAACAUCCUGCCUGUAGCCUGUGCCAAAGCCCUGUUAUCGCUGCUCACCGGAUUGCCUCCAGAUUCUGUACAAUUGCACAACGCACAUAUACGGUGUUGCUGCUGUGCAUUCCACAAACGCCUCCAUUGAUAUAAAUCCACGGCUAUAUGACUCAGACAUUGUUUUAUGUUUAAACAUGUUUGAGUAACGUUUUGUUCAAGUUAAUUGAUUUUUGGGAAUCUAUAACAUUAUAUUAAAGCUACAUCAGCAUGCAACCUUUUUAAAGUCAAAAUAAUGUGAUGCAGGUGCACGAACGCAUCUGGACUGUUGUAGAGCUAACAAGAUAAAGACUGGAUGAGCUCAUGCAAGCAACUAGUAGUCUCUCUGAACAAGUGCCAAAGGAAAACAACAUUUUUGCAAGAUGCGAUGCAUUUGUUCUUCAGAAGAAAGCUAACAAAU